GACGAACGCUGGCGGCGUGCUUAACACAUGCAAGUCGAACGGUAAGGCCCUUCGGGGUACACGAGUGGCGAACGGGUGAGUAACACGUGGGUGAUCUGCCCUGCACUUCGGGAUAAGCCUGGGAAACUGGGUCUAAUACCGGAUAGGACAACUGCCUGCAUGGGUGGUGGUGGAAAGCUUUUGCGGUGUGGGAUGGGCCCGCGGCCUAUCAGCUUGUCGGUGGGGUGAUGGCCUACCAAGGCGACGGCGGGUAGCCGGCCUGAGAGGGUGACCGGCCACAGUGGGACUGCGAUACGGCCCAGGAUCCUACGGGAGGCAGCAGUGGGGAAUAUUGCACAAUGGGCGCAAGCCUGAUGGAGCGACGCCGCGUGUGGGAUGACGGCCUUCGGGUUGUAAACCUCUUUCAGCACCGACGAAGCGCAAGUGACGGUAGGUGCAGAAGAAGGACCGGCCAACUACGUGCCAGCCGCCGCAGUAA
rnacentral:rRNA from 1 species